AGGUAAAACAAUUUAAAAUAUGGAUUUAGAAAGUGUUUUACUAGUAAGAGUACAUAAAAUUUUCUCUCUUUUUCAAAUACAUAUGAUCAUAUUUAAAUUGUCUAUAAAACAAAUAAUGAAACAUUCACACUUAUUACAGGUGCGAUUUGCAGAUAUAAACAUUUUAAGACUUUUUCAAAGAUUUCACGUUGACAGGUUGGGAGUGAAACAGGAGGUUUUCAAGCAGAUUCUUUUUUUCGG